UCCUUGUUUCCAAGGCAGUCCCGCUUAAGUGCCAUCUUUCGACGUUGCAAUAAGCGGCAAGGGUUGCGCUCGUUAAAGGACUUAACCCAACAUCUCACGACACGAGCUGACGACAGCCAUGCAGCACCUGUGUAACAGUCGGUAUUUCUACCGAAGACAGUAUUUCUACUGGUGUCUGAAACAUGUCAAGCCCAGGUAAGGUUCCUCGCGUAGUGUCGAAUUAAACCACAUGUUCCACCGCUUGUGCGGACCCCCGUCAAUUCCUUUGAGUUUUAAUCUUGCGACCGUACUCCCCAGGCGGAUCACUUAACGCGUUAGCUUCGACACAGAUCCCGCUUAAAGCAGAACCCACAUCCAGUGAUCAUCGUUUACAGCGUGGACUAC
rnacentral:misc_RNA from 1 species